rnacentral:rRNA from 1 species
CCGGGGCUUAGUGCCGGAGCUAACGCAAUAAGCACUCCGCCUGGGGAGUACGACCGCAAGGUUGAAACUCAAAGGAAUUGACGGGGGCCCGCACAAGCGGUGAAGCAUGUGGUUUAAUUCGAAGCAACGCGAAGAACCUUACCAGGUCUUGACAUCCCGAUGCUAUUCUUAGAGAUAGGAAGUUACUUCGGUACAUCGGAGACAGGUGGUGCAUGGUUGUCGUCAGCUCGUGUCGUGAGAUGUUGGGUUAAGUCCCGCAACGAGCGCAACCCUUAUUGUUAGUUGCCAUCAUUAAGUUGGGCACUCUAGCGAGACUGCCGGUAAUAAACCGGAGGAAGGUGGGGAUGACGUCAAAUCAUCAUGCCCCUUAUGACCUGGGCUACACACGUGCUACAAUGGUCGGUACAACGAGUUGCGAGCCGGUGACGGCAAGCUAAUCUCUGAAAGCCGAUCUCAGUUCGGAUUGGAGGCUGCAACUCGCCUCCAUGAAGUCGGAAUCGCUAGUAAUCGCGGAUCAGCACGCCGCGGUGAAUACGUUCCCGGGCCUUGUACACACCGCCCGUCACACCACGAGAGUUUGUAACACCCGAAGUCGGUGAGGUAACCUAUUAGGGGCCA